rnacentral:misc_RNA from 1 species
CGGAAGCUGUAUCUUCAGCAGUGGAAGUCGUUGAUAAUGACAGUCGAAAUCACGCCCCGAAAAAUGUUUAGAUGACUCUUAGAAAUCGUUACUUUAGGGACACAUUUGCUACUAAGGAUUCAAGACAGGGUUUGUUAGCAAGAAAGACCAUUUUCAAAGGAUUGACAUGCAAGUCUUAGCCCUCAUUAUCACGAACGCCGGCUUCUUGUCCGCCAUUAUGGGUCCGAACAAAUCUUUCAAUGUCAUUCCUGGCUACAGCAAGGUGUCAGUGUGGUAUUUUCCUGUUUGAACGUUGAAGCCAUGAUUUUCAAAUAUAGAGGGACGACUAUACGUCUCUUUAGUACAAAGCUGUUUAUUUUGGUUAUGGUGGGAAUUGGAGCAGUCAUUGCGGUGUUGACGCUACACGAGAUCAUUGCUUUCGAUCCGUCUGGCAAUAUGGACUCUCCACCUUACAAUAAUGGUUUUUAUCUAAAUCGGCCGCAGAAUAAUCCACUUGUGACAAAAUCAAUCGAAAACGCUAUCAAAACUGAAGGAAGGAAUGAAAAUAUAAACAUCAAUAUCCCGCAAGAGAGCUUACGUGUUACAACAAAACGACCAACUCUUAAUUCUUCUCUAAACAAAAGCGUUGAACCUGAGAUUCUGAAACUUAGACAUUUCGUAAGGACUUUGAAUGAAGCGCAGUUCAUCAGAAAUGGCGACAAAUUCGGCACGACUUUGUCUCCAGGUUCAAUUGUGAUCAUUAUUCAAGUGCACGAUAGAAUUGAUUAUUUUUCUCAUUUACUAACUUCUCUGAGGCGCUCGAGAGGAAUCGGAGAUGCCUUGGUUAUCGUGAGUCAUGACUACUACUCCGUGGAAAUGAACAAAUUGGUGGAAUCCAUCGACUUUUGUAGAGUCAUGCAAAUCUUUUUCCCAUUUUCAUAUCAGCUUUAUCCAAAUGAGUUUCCUGGAACUGAUCCUCAGGACUGCCCAAGAGAUAUCAGCCGAGAGAAAGCCAGAGAAAUGGGCUGUAUCAAUGCAGAGACACCAGACAUGUAUGGUCAUUACAGACAAGCACCAUUUACCAUGAUAAAACAUCACUGGUGGUGGAAGGCAAACACAGUAUUUGACUUGCUGAAUGCUACAAAAGACUUUGCAGGCCCAAUAUUAUUCCUUGAAGAAGAUUAUUAUGUUAGUCCAGACUUCUACCACAUGUUAAAAUUGGUGUAUAAUGGCAAAAUGAGUGGUUGUAAGGAGGACUGUGAUUUGAUAACCUUGGGUACAUACAAAGUUGUGGAUAAUUAUGAACUGAAUGGUGCUAAAGACAUGGCAGCCCUUUCAGUUUGGAGAUCACAUGAACACAACAUGGGGAUGGCAUUUGAUAGAAUGACUUGGAAUAAAAUAAAAGAAUGUAGUGAGGUUUUUUGCAAGAGCUAUGAUGAAUACAAUUGGGACUGGUCUUUGAUGAAGAUAAGUGUGUCCUGCUUGCCACAGCCACUCAAGUCGCUCAUUCUCAAGGGUCCAAGAGUUUUUCACCUAGGAGAAUGUGGUCUUCAUCACAAGAAAGCUGAUUGCAAGAUUGAAGCUACUGUGCAGAGGUUCCAAACCAUCAUAGAGAAGAACACAAACAGCCUUUUUCCACCCUCGGUGAACAUACAGCCGGGUGACAACAAUAUAGGUUCUAAAUUUAGUCCUAACGGGGGAUGGGCGGAUACAAGGGAUCAUACACUGUGUUUCCAGUUGAUGCAAAAGAGGUGAUGCACAGCAAAGGAAGUUCUUCGUGGGUAACAUGAAAUCAUACCUUAGAAAAGAGGUUUUACUUCAUCUCCAAUUCUCUCUUCCAAAAAGGUGCAAUCAAAAAGUGCAACUGUUUUCAAGUUUGGUUAUAGCUUUGCCCCACAUGUUCUCUUUCAAAAAGGGAAAUCUGCUGUGGCAAUUAAGAAAACAGUAAUACUUGUUAUAAGUGGUGUCGUAUGGCAUCAGAAUGCAGUCACUUCACAAUUAUUUAAGUAAAAUAGCUCAACAAUGUGUCACGAGUUAUUUGUUUAGUCAGGGCUUAAAAAUGUGUAGUGUCAUAGACUUGUAUCCCAUUCACACCAAAGCUUUAAUAUGUUAAAGCUGUUUUGUUUUACAUUGUCAACUUGAAAUUUAGCACAGAUUUGCUGGUGUGAAUGAGGGUCUUCCCAUCUCCCACAGUUAACAAUACAAUGUACAUGUCCCAAUUUAUUCUGUUUUGACCCUAUAAAUCCUAAGAUCUGUUAAUUCUCCCCUCUAACAACCACACUUUCCUUGGAAAUUAGUGACAAGAAUUUGGUAUUAGAUUUAGAUAAAAAAAAAAUAACCUGAUAAGUUUGUCUCAAAAGGACUGGGGACUACCG